UCCCUGGUGGCUCAGACGGUAAAGCAUCUGCCUGCAGUGCAGGAGACCCAGGUUCGAUCCCUGGGUAGGGAA
rnacentral:tRNA from 1 species